rnacentral:lncRNA from 1 species
GCAGCCUAUAUUAAGUGCCUGCUAGGACAGACAGAAGCUCCAUCAGAAGGGUAAGCGUGGUCCUCUGGGAGAGAGCUUGGGGGGCCUGUAGUUGCUAUGGGCUGGCUGUGGAUUCUACAGCCAGUGGCCUGGAAGGACAAGCUCUGCCCAGGAGAGACCUAGGGAUGGCCGUGGCCUCUGACGCUUGUGGCCAGGAAAGGACAAGCCCUGGCAAGACCUCCCUACAAAGUUGGAAAGGUUUAAAGUUCAGCCCAGUAAUAGAUUGCGCAUGAUGGCUUCCACGCUCCCUUCCAACGGUACUCAUCAAUGCCCAGUUCUUUCAUGAUACUACUACAUCCAUGAUCUAGAGAAAAUAUGCAGGAGGAGAGGGUGAAUCACAAUGUCAAAAACUACAGAGAGGUCAGGAAGGAUGAGGAUUGAAGAAGACUAUCAAAUCUGGCAAGUGACAGCUACUAACCAAGGAUGUCCUGCCCUAAACCUUCUUCUACACCAGUUCCCUUGGUGAUCUCAUGGUAUAUUACCCUGGGCAAGUCACUGAAAGUCUCUGGAUUUCAGUUUUGUCAUCUGUUUAAAAAAAAGGGAAAAUCAACAAGAAAGCAUAUUGAUUGGUGGUAGAUUCCAUAAUCUGGGACAUGGUUACAGGAGUCCUCUCUGACACCUGCAAUAAUUGGCAUUGGCGUUGUUCUGGAAGUGAGGUAUAAUGGAAAAUGGGACUCCAUGGGGCAAGCCCAUUAAGGCACUAGUGGAAAGUGCCUAGAAGAGAGAGUAUGGAAUACAUACCUUGAAUACUGUUCAUGAAGAAUAUGGAGAAAAGAGGGAGAGAUAGCAGAUAAUAAUAGGGGUCAUAAAUCAGAUAAUGAAGGUAUAAAAAAUAAACAGAAAGAGAAGAUGGAUAAUGAAGAGAGA